rfam:Danio rerio chromosome 7, GRCz11 reference primary assembly.
CAAACGGCUCUUUUAAGAGCCACCAAUUGGUUCAAACUUAAGAGCU